rnacentral:misc_RNA from 1 species
GAAAUGCGAUAAGUAGUGUGAAUUGCAGACAUCAGUGAAUCAUCGAAUUUUUGAACGCACAUUGCGCCCUUUGGUAUUCCGAAGGGCAUGCCUGUUCGAGCGUCAUUACACCCCUCAAGCUACGCUUGGUCAUGGGCGGUUUGUCUUGCUAAAAGACUCGCCUCAAAAGUAUCGGCUGCCGGCACAUCGACUGGGCGCACAGUACAUUGUGAUUGCCUAUCGGUGCUGUUGUGGAUGGCUGCUCCCAAAUCUAUCUUUGAAGUUGACCUCGGAUCAGGUAGGAAUACCCGCUGAACUUAA